rnacentral:sRNA from 1 species
AACAUCCUUCCCUGUUGAUAUGUUGCGUUUUUGGUGUCUUAAGUCCCUUAGUUUUGAGUCGUUUGUCGUGUCAUAGUCCGUCUUUUGCGUCUUUUCGGCUGUGUCUUGAGUCAUUUGCAGGUUUUAGGUGUUUAAACGGGACGCGAAUGCUUUCGGGACUUAUCAGGCUCAUUUGGACCAGAAACGACGAUGGAAUCGAGAAACCGGGAUCAUGAACUCUAGAUCGAUCACCUAGGAUCGAUCGAUCCCAGGUGGGGAUCGAUCGAUCCAGAAGUCAUCUACCU